rnacentral:rRNA from 1 species
GAUGAACGCUAGCGGGAGGCCUAACACAUGCAAGCCGAGCGGUAGAGAUUCUUCGGAAUCUUGAGAGCGGCGUACGGGUGCGGAACACGUGUGCAACCUGCCUUUAUCAGGGGGAUAGCCUUUCGAAAGGAAGAUUAAUACCCCAUAAUAUAUUUGAUGGCAUCAUUAGAUAUUGAAAGCUUUGGCGGAUAGAGAUGGGCACGCGCAAGAUUAGAUAGUUGGUGAGGUAACGGCUCACCAAGUCGAUGAUCUUUAGGGGGCCUGAGAGGGUGAUCCCCCACACUGGUACUGAGACACGGACCAGACUCCUACGGGAGGCAGCAGUGAGGAAUAUUGGACAAUGGGUUAGCGCCUGAUCCAGCCAUCCCGCGUGAAGGACGACGGCCCUAUGGGUUGUAAACUUCUUUUGUACAGGGAUAAACCUACUCUCGUGAGAGUAGCUGAAGGUACUGUACGAAUAAGCACCGGCUAACUACGUG